CCAACAGGGAUUGCCUCAGUAACGGCGAGUGAAGCGGCAACAGCUCAAAUUUGAAAUCUGGCUCCCCUUGGGGUCCGAGUUGUAAUUUGUAGAGGAUGCUUCGGGUGCGGCGCCGGUCUAAGUUCCUUGGAACAGGACGUCAUAGAGGGUGAGAAUCCCGUAUGUGACUGGAUGCCUAUCCCAUGUGAAGCUCCUUCGACGAGUCGAGUUGUUUGGGAAUGCAGCUCUAAAUGGGUGGUAAAUUUCAUCUAAAGCUAAAUACCGGCCAGAGACCGAUAGCGCACAAGUAGAGUGAUCGAAAGAUGAAAAGCACUUUGGAAAGAGAGUUAAAAAGCACGUGAAAUUGUUGAAAGGGAAGCGCUCGCAAUCAGACUUGCCUGCAGUUGAUCAACCGGUGUUCUCACCGGUGCACGCUUCUGCGGUCAGGCCAGCAUCAGUUCGGGCGGUCGGAUAAAGGCCCGGAGAAUGUAGCUCCUCUCGGGGAGUGUUAUAGCUUCGGGUGCAAUGCGGCCCGCCCGGACUGAGGACCGCGCUUCGGCUAGGAUGCUGGCGUAAUGGUUGCGAGCGACCCGUCUUGAAACACGGACCAAGGAGUCUAACAUCUAUGCGAGUGUUUGGGUGUCAAACCCAUGCGCGUAAUGAAAGUGAACGGAGGUGGGAACCCUUAAGGGUGCACCAUCGACCGAUCCUGAUGUCUUCGGAUGGAUUUGAGUAAGAGCAUAACUGUUGGGACCCGAAAGAAGGUGAACUAUACUUGAAUAGGGUGAAGCCAGAGGAAACUCUGGUGGAGGCUCGCAGCGGUUCUGACGUGCAAAUCGAUCGUCAAAUUUGGGUAUAGGGGCGAAAGACUAAUCGAACCUUCUAGUAGCUGGUUCCCGCCGAAGUUUCCCUCAGGAUAGCAGUAAUGAAUUCAGUUUUAUGAGGUAAAGCGAAUGAUUAGAGGCCUUGGGGUUGAAACAACCUUAACCUAUUCUCAAACUUUAAAUAUGUAAGAAGUCCUUGUUACUUAAUUGAACGUGGACAUUUGAAUGUACCAUUACUAGUGGGCCAUUUUUGGUAAGCAGAACUGGCGAUGCGGGAUGAACCGAACGUGAGGUUAAGGUGCCGGAAUUCACGCUCAUCAGACACCACUAAUCCAUUAAUUGUGGUGUCGAAGUCGGGCCUUCAAGCCUGACGAAGUCCCUAUAAUCUAGGGGCGAGGUCACCGUUCUGUGGGGAUGGCUGGGCCUCAAAACCCGACCCACCCGUGGCUGCCGAGGCAGUUCACAGAUUAAGUGGUGGCCGGCAGUCUCACUGCUUAAGAUAUAAUCGGCCUCUGGAGUCUUGUUCAGAGAUCAAGUGCAAAAGGUGUUAGUUCAUCUAGACAGCCGGACGGUGGCCAUGGAAGUCGGAAUCCGCUAAGGAGUGUGUAACAACCCACCGGCCGAAUGAACUAGCCCUGAAAAUGGAUGGCGCUCAAGCGUGAUACCCAUACCUCGCCGCCAGGGUAGAAACGAUGCCCUGGCGAGUAGGCAGGCGUGGAGG
rnacentral:rRNA from 1 species